GACGAACGCUGGCGGCGUGCUUAACACAUGCAAGUCGAAGAUAGUGGCGAAGGGGUGAGUAAUACGUGAUUAACCUGCCCUCCUUUUAGGGAUAAGAGUUGGAAAGGGGGUCUAAUACCACAUCAAGGGGGAUGUGCGGGCGGCCUAUCAGCGUGUUGGUGGGGUGAUGGCCUACCAAGGCGGUGACGGGUAGCCAGCAUGAGAGGCGGAACGGCCACAGUGGGACGGAGCUGACGCCCACAGUCGUAAGGGAGGCAGCAGUGUGGAAAAUUGCAGAAUGGGCGAAAGCCUCAUGCCGCGUGGCCGCGUGGGGGAUGAGGGCUUUCGGGUUCUAAACGUCUGUCGCUAUCGAACGGGUAGGUGGAGAAGAAGCGCCGGCUAACUACGUGCCAGCAGCCGCGGUAAUAC
rnacentral:rRNA from 1 species